rnacentral:rRNA from 1 species
AGAACGAACGCUGGCGGCAGGCUUAACACAUGCAAGUCGAACGCUCGUAGCAAUACGGGAGUGGCAGACGGGUGAGUAACGCGUGGGAACAUACCCUCCGGUUCGGAAUAGCUCAGGGAAACUUGGAUUAAUACCGGAUACGGCUGAGAGGCGAAAGAUUUAUCGCCGGAGGAUUGGCCCGCGUUCGAUUAGCUAGUUGGUGAAGUAACGGCUCACCAAGGCGAUGAUCGAUAGCUGGUCUGAGAGGAUGAUCAGCCACAUUGGGACUGAGACACGGCCCAAACUCCUACGGGAGGCAGCAGUGGGGAAUAUUGGACAAUGGGCGCAAGCCUGAUCCAGCCAUGCCGCGUGAGUGAUGACGGCCUUAGGGUUGUAAAGCUCUUUCGCUCGGGACGAUAAUGACGGUACCGAGAUAAGAAGCCCCGGCUAACUUCGUGCCAGCAGCCGC